UGCAUAUCAAUAAGCGGAGGAAAAGAAACCAACCGCGGAUUGCCUUUGCAUAUCAAUAAGCGGAGGAAAAGAAACCAACAGGGAUUGCCUCAGUAACGGCGAGUGAAGCGGCAAAAGCUCAAAUUUGGAAUCUCAGUCUUUCAGGCUGCGAGUUGUAAUUUGAAGACGUAUUUUGAAGUAAGCACAUGUCGAAGUUCCUUGGAACAGGACGUCACAGAGGGUGAGAAUCCCGUGCGAUGUGUUCACUGCUUCAUGUAAAAUGCAGUCGAAGAGUCGAGUUGUUUGGGAAUGCAGCUCUAAGUGGGUGGUAAAUUCCAUCUAAAGCUAAAUAUUGGCGAGAGACCGAUAGCGAACAAGUACAGUGAUGGAAAGAUGAAAAGAACUUUGAAAAGAGAGUGAAAAAGUACGUGAAAUUGUUGAAAGGGAAGGGCUUGAGAUCAGACUCGGGCAACCGGGCCAGCAUGGGGUGGGGGAGUAGGAUAACCCUGCAGGAAAGUGGCUUCGCUUGGGUGGAGUGUUAUAGCCUGUAGCUAUGCUGCUACCCUCACCCGAGGCCUGCGGAAACAAGGAUGCUGGCAUAAUGAUCUUAAGCCGCCCGUCUUGAAACACGGACCAGAUGCUGGCAUAAUGGUUAUAUGCCGCCCGUCUUGAAACACGGACCA
rnacentral:rRNA from 1 species